UUGCCCGAUGAUUACAAAAAGACGCGUUAAAGAGGACUUAAUGCUGGAGUUCUUUAUCUUUUCCUCUCUUUUUCUGUACUUCUUUUUCUGUCUGGAUGUCCAGCGUCCUGUGAGCGAAGAUUAUGAGAUAUGAGGGCAA